rnacentral:rRNA from 1 species
AGAGAUGUGUGAUGACGCAUAUCAAUAAGCGGAGGAAAAGAAACUAACUAGGAUUCCCUUAGUAACGGCGAGUGAAGCGGGAAGAGCUCAAAUUUGAAAUCUUCAAGGUUCUACCUUGACGAAUUGUAGUUUAUAGAAGUGUUUUCUGUUAGUAGAGUUGGCUAAAAGUUCUUUGGAAUAGGACAUCAUAGAGGGUGAGAAUCCCGUAUUUGAUCAUUCUUUCCUAACUUUGUGAUACACUUUCAAAGAGUCGGAUUGUUUGGGAAUGCAGUCCAAAAUGGGUGGUAAAUUUCAUCUAAAGCUAAAUAGUGGCGAGAGACCGAUAGCGAACAAGUACCGUGAGGGAAAGAUGAAAAGAACUUUGAAAAGAGAGUUAAACAGUACGUGAAAUUGUCAAAAGGGAAGCGUUUGACACCAGUGUUGUUUUCUCGAAAAUCAAUUAAAAAUGGAUGGCAUGCUAGUUGUAUUGACCUUAUCAGCUUGCAAUUUAGUUUUGGGUUCUUUUUUGAUGCACUUUUCGGUUAACAAGUCAACAUCAAUUUCUUUUGCUGUAAAAGGGUAUGAGGAAGGUGGCUUUCUUUUCGGAGAAAGUGUUUAUAGCCUUGUGCCUCUGCAAUCGGAGAGAUUGAGGUCUGCAGCGUAGAUCCUUCGGGGUUAGAUACGUUUGUGCUAAGUUAUAGCUUUUCGUAGACAACUUGUUGACUAUGUUUAGUCUUGUAGCUUACUCGCUUAUGCUAUUUUACCUACGCUUAGGAUGUUGAACUCUAUCACACACAG